rnacentral:rRNA from 1 species
CGAACGCUGACGGCGGGCCUCAUACAUGCAAGUCGAGCGCGAAAGUCCGCAAGGAUGAGUAAAGCGGCGCACGGGUGAGUAACACGUGGGUAAUCUACCUCGAGGAUUGGAAUAACACGUCGAAAGAUGUGCUAAUGCCAAGUAAGCUUCACGAUUCAUAAUGUAUUGUGGAGGAAAGCUGGCGCAAGCAAGCGCCUUGAGAUGAGCCUGCGCUCCAUUAGUUUGUUGGUGAGGUAAUGGCUUACCAAGACUACGAUGGAUAACUGGUCUGAGAGGAUGAUCAGUCACACUGGAACUGAAACACGGUCCAGACUCCUACGGGAGGCAGCAGUAGGGAAUAUUGCGCAAUGGGAGAAAUCCUGACGCAGCCACGUCGUGUGGGUGAGGAAGGCCUUCGGGUCGUAAAGCCCUGUCGCUUGGGAAGAAACUAUAAUCGGGGAAAGUUCGGUUAUAUUGACGGUACCAAGAGAGGAAGCACCGGCUAACUCUGUGCCAGCAGCCGCGGUAAUACAGAGGGUGCAAGCGUUGUUCGGAAUUACUGGGCGUAAAGCGUUUGUAGGCGGUGCUGAGAGUCCUAGGUGAAAUCCCCAAGCUCAACUUGGGAACGGCCUGGGAGACCUCAGCACUAGAGUACUGAAGGGGUUGCUAGAAUUCCAUGUGUAGCGGUGAAAUGCGUAGAUAUAUGGAGGAAUACCUGUGGCGAAGGCGGGCAACUGGUCAGAGACUGACGCUGAGAAACGAAAGCGUGGGGAGCAAACAGGAUUAGAUACCCUGGUAGUCCACGCCGUAAACGAUGCAUACCAGUCGUGACUGGGAUUGACUCCGGUCGUGACGAAGCUAACGCAACGAGU